GGCUCAGGACGAACGCUGGCGGCGUGCUUAACACAUGCAAGUCGAACGGAAAGGCCCUGCUUUUGUGGGGUGCUCGAGUGGCGAACGGGUGAGUAACACGUGAGUAACCUGCCCUUGACUUUGGGAUAACUUCAGGAAACUGGGGCUAAUACCGGAUAGGAGCUCCUGCUGCAUGGUGGGGGUUGGAAAGUUUCGGCGGUUGGGGAUGGACUCGCGGCUUAUCAGCUUGUUGGUGGGGUAGUGGCUUACCAAGGCUUUGACGGGUAGCCGGCCUGAGAGGGUGACCGGCCACAUUGGGACUGAGAUACGGCCCAGACUCCUACGGGAGGCAGCAGUGGGGAAUAUUGCACAAUGGGCGGAAGCCUGAUGCAGCAACGCCGCGUGCGGGAUGACGGCCUUCGGGUUGUAAACCGCUUUCGCCUGUGACGAAGCGUGAGUGACGGUAAUGGGUAAAGAAGCACCGGCUAACUACGUGCCAGCAGCCGCGGUGAUACGUAGGGUGCGAGCGUUGUCCGGAUUUAUUGGGCGUAAAGGGCUCGUAGGUGGUUGAUCGCGUCGGAAGUGUAAUCUUGGGGCUUAACCCUGAGCGUGCUUUCGAUACGGGUUGACUUGAGGAAGGUAGGGGAGAAUGGAAUUCCUGGUGGAGCGGUGGAAUGCGCAGAUAUCAGGAGGAACACCAGUGGCGAAGGCGGUUCUCUGGGCCUUUCCUGACGCUGAGGAGCGAAAGCGUGGGGAGCGAACAGGCUUAGAUACCCUGGUAGUCCACGCUGUAAACGGUGGGUACUAGGUGUGGGGUCCAUUCCACGGGUUCCGUGCCGUAGCUAACGCUUUAAGUACCCCGCCUGGGGAGUACGGCCGCAAGGCUAAAACUCAAAGGAAUUGACGGGGCCCCGCACAAGCGGCGGAGCAUGCGGAUUAAUUCGAUGCAACGCGUAGAACCUUACCUGGGUUUGACAUGGAUCGGGAGUGCUCAGAGAUGGGUGUGCCUCUUUUGGGGUCGGUUCACAGGUGGUGCAUGCCUGUCGUCAGCUCGUGUCGUGAGAUGUUGGGUUAAGUCCCGCAACGAGCGCAACCCUUGUUCACUGUUGCCAGCACGUUAUGGUGGGGACUCAGUGGAGACCGCCGGGGUCAACUCGGAGGAAGGUGGGGAUGACGUCAAGUCCUCAUGCCCCUUAUGUCCAGGGCUUCACGCAUGCUACAAUGGCUGGUACAGAGAGUGGCGAGCCUGUGAGGGUGAGCGAAUCUCGGAAAGCCGGUCUCAGUUCGGAUUGGGGUCUGCAACUCGACCUCAUGAAGUCGGAGUCGCUAGUAAUCGCAGAUCAGCAACGCUGCGGUGAAUACGUUCCCGGGGCUUGUACACACCGCCCGUCAAGUCAUGAAAGUUGGUAACACCCGAAGCCGGUGGCCUAACCGUUGUGGGGGAGCCGUCGAAG
rnacentral:rRNA from 1 species